CAUAGCGACCAUAGCGUAGGGGCCCACCUGAUCCCAUCCCGAACUCAGCAGUUAAGACCUACAACGCCGACGAUACCGUAAAGGGAAAAUAGGGAGUCGCUUUUU
rnacentral:rRNA from 1 species